AGUGAACGCUGGCGGUAGGCCUAACACAUGCAAGUCGAACGGCAGCACAGUAAGAGCUUGCUCUUACGGGUGGCGAGUGGCGGACGGGUGAGGAAUACAUCGGAAUCUACUUUUUCGUGGGGGAUAACGUAGGGAAACUUACGCUAAUACCGCAUACGACCUACGGGUGAAAGCAGUGGAUCUUCGGACCUUGCGCGAUUGAAUGAGCCGAUGUCGGAUUAGCUAGUUGGCGGGGUAAAGGCCCACCAAGGCGACGAUCCGUAGCUGGUCUGAGAGGAUGAUCAGCCACACUGGAACUGAGACACGGUCCAGACUCCUACGGGAGGCAGCAGUGGGGAAUAUUGGACAAUGGGCGAAAGCCUGAUCCAGCCAUACCGCGUGGGUGAAGAAGGCCUUCGGGUUGUAAAGCCCUUUUGUUGGGAAAGAAAAGCAGCAGGUUAAUACCCCGCUGUUCUGACGGUACCUAAAGAAUAAGCACCGGCUAACUUCGUG
rnacentral:rRNA from 1 species